rnacentral:lncRNA from 1 species
CCUAGCUAAAUCUCUAUUCACUCUAACAUUUAUUGUCAUCUCUUGAUUGAAAUGGGAGAAGUCUCUGCUCGCUGGUGGGUAUUCAUAUCCAGGUAUUCAUACGCUCUCUCAGCUCAGAAGUGUUUGAUAUGCAAACACAAUAACAUUCAAAAACAAAUCUUUUUCCAAUCUUCAAGCUAUCAGACGGAGGUCGUGUCCUAUUUUAUAUCCUCUUGAUAUCCACUUGAUACACCGCAGGAGAAAAUAAAUAGUCAUUACAGAUAAAGCUAUGACGGUUAUGGGCCUGUCUGCCUAUCUGAGACUGGAGUCAGUAACACAUUGUGGCAUUAUAGGUUACAGCCCAGAUAACAUCUAGGAUCCGCUGAAGAGGACAGACACCUGGUAUCAUCCCAGAUAACAUCUAGGAUCCACUGAAGAGGCAGAGACUCCCAGUAUCAUCCCAGAUAACAUCUAGGAUCCACUGAAGAGGACAGAGACUCCCAGUAUCAUCCCAGAUAACAUCUAGGAUCCACUGAAGAGGACAGACACCUGGUAUCAUCCCAGAUAACAUCUAGGAUCCGCUGAAGAGGACAGACACCUGGUAUCAUCCCAGAUAACAUCUAGGAUCCGCUGAAGAGGACAGACACCUGGUAUCAUCCCAGAUAACAUCUAGGAUCCACUGAAGAGGACAGAGCCUCCCAGUAUCAUCCCAGAUAACAUCUAGGAUCCACUGAAGAGGACAGACACUUGGUAUCUAAGGUCACACUAUAUUCACCAUAGUGCAGCUCGGAAGACGAAAAUCAAUAGUUAACUCUCAGAGUCACAGCGUACAGAAAUCAAAAUAUAGCAAACCCCUUACUGCAGCAGUUGUGCAGUAUUGUUUAAAAGCUCAAAGGCUAGUUCUAUUACCAAUUAGUACAUCUAAGGGAACAUAGCGUGACUAAAAAGGUACAUCUGAGAAAACAAUUAUAUAGCUUCCCUUCUCCCUUUGACAAAGGAAACAUAAUGCAUAUGAGAGGCCUUAGCCCAAGGUCCAACACACCGAUAACAAUUAUCCUGGUUAGAAAUGCAAUGUAUUCACUGAUAAUUGUCCUGGUUAUAAAUGCAAUGUAUUCACUGAUAAUUGUCCUGGUUAGAAAUGCAAUGUAUUCACUGAUAAUUGUCCUGGUUAGAAAUGCAUUGUAUUCACUGAUAAUUGUCCUGGUUAGAAAUGCAAUGUAUUCAUUGAUAAUUGUCCUGGUUAUAAAAGCAAUGUAUUCACUGAUAAUUGUCCUGGUUAUAAAAGCAAUGUAUUCACUGAUAAUUGUCCUGGUUAGAAAUGCAAUGUAUUCACUGAUAAUUGUCCUGGUUAUAAAUGCAAUGUAUUCACUGAUAAUUGUCCUGGUUAGAAAUGCAAUGUAUUCACUGAUAAUUGUCCUGGUUAGAAAUGCAUUGUAUUCACUGAUAAUUGUCCUGGUUAGAAAUGCAAUGUAUUCAUUGAUAAUUGUCCUGGUUAUAAAUGCAAUGUAUUCACUGAUAAUUGUC